CAUACAAUAUGGACACGAUAAUCU
rnacentral:siRNA from 1 species